rnacentral:rRNA from 1 species
UACGUAGGGCGCAAGCGUUGUCCGGAAUUAUUGGGCGUAAAGAGCUCGUAGGUGGUUUGUUACGUCUGCUGUGAAAUCCUAGGGCUUAACCCUGGGCUUGCAGUGGAUACGGGCAGACUAGAGGUAGGUAGGGGAGAAUGGAAUUCCUGGUGUAGCGGUGAAAUGCGCAGAUAUCAGGAGGAACACCGAUGGCGAAGGCAGCUCGCUGGGACGGUACUGACGCUGAGGCGCGAAAGCGUGGGGAGCAAACAGG